rnacentral:rRNA from 1 species
UGCAUGUCGAGCGAAGUUCUUCGGAACUUAGCGGCGAAUGGGUGAGUAACACGUACUCAACGUACCCUUUAGUUUGGGAUAGCAAGUGGAAACAUUUGAUAAUACCAAAUACUUAUAUUUUUCGCAUGAAAAAUAUAUAAAAGAAGCGUUUGCUUCGCUAAAGGAUCGGGGUGCUUAACAUUAGCUAGUUGGUGAGGUAACGGCCCACCAAGGCGAUGAUGUUUAGCGGGGUUGAGAGACUGAACCGCCACACUGGGACUGAGAUACGGCCCAGACUCCUACGGGAGGCAGCAGUAGGGAAUAUUCCACAAUGGACGAAAGUCUGAUGGAGCGACACAGCGUGCAGGAUGAAGGCCCUAUGGGUUGUAAACUGCUGUGGUAAGAGAAGAAAAAAUAAUGUAGGAAAUGACAUUAUCUUGACGGUAUCUUAUUAGAAAGCAACGGCUAACUAUGUGCCAGCAGCCGCGGUAAUACAUAGGUUGCAAGCGUUAUCCGGAAUUAUUGGGCGUAAAGCGUCUGUAGGUUGUUUGUUAAGUCUGGCGUUAAAUUUUGGGGCUCAACCCCAAACCGCGUUGGAUACUGGCAAACUAGAGUUGUGUAGAGGUAAGCGGAAUUCCUUGUGAAGCGGUGAAAUGCGUAGAUAUAAGGAAGAACACCAAUAUGGCGAAGGCAGCUUACUGGACAUAUACUGACACUGAGAGACGAAAGCGUGGGGAGCAAACAGGAUUAGAUACCCUGGUAGUCCACGCCCUAAACGAUGAUCAUUAGUUGAUGGAAGAAUUCAUCGACGCAGCUAACGCAUUAAAUGAUCCGCCUGAGUAGUACGUUCGCAAGAAUAAAACUUAAAGGAAUUGACGGGGAUCCGCACAAGCGGUGGAGCAUGUGGUUUAAUUUGAAGAUACGCGUAGAACCUUACCCACUCUUGACAUCUUCUGCAAAGCUAUAGAGAUAUAGUGGAGGUUAACAGAAUGACAGAUGGUGCAUGGUUGUCGUCAGCUCGUGUCGUGAGAUGUUCGGUUAAGUCCUGCAACGAGCGCAACCCUUAUCCUUAGUUACUACCAUUAAGUUGAGGACUCUAAGGAGACUGCCCGAGUAAUCGGGAGGAAGGUGGGGACGACGUCAAAUCAUCAUGCCUCUUACGAGUGGGGCUACACACGUGCUACAAUGGACGGUACAAAGAGAAGCAAAGUGGUGACACGGAGCAAACCUCAAAAAACCGUUCUCAGUUCGGAUUGAAGUCUGCAACUCGACUUCAUGAAGUUGGAAUCGCUAGUAAUCGUAGAUCAGCUACGCUACGGUGAAUACGUUCUCGGGUCUUGUACACACCGCCCGUCAAACCAUGGGAGCUGGUAAUGCCCGAAGUCGGUUUAUUAAGAAACUGCCUAAGGCA